rnacentral:rRNA from 1 species
CACGUAGGGCGCAAGCGUUGUCCGGAAUUAUUGGGCGUAAAGAGCUCGUAGGCGGUCUGUUGCGUCCGCUGUGAAAACUCGGGGCUUAACCCCGAGCCUGCAGUGGAUACGGGCAGACUAGAGGUAGGUAGGGGAGAAUGGAAUUCCCGGUGUAGCGGUGAAAUGCGCAGAUAUCGGGAGGAACACCAGUGGCGAAAGCGGCCACCUGGACUGUACCUGACGCUGACACGCGAAAGCUAGGGGAGCGAACGGG